rnacentral:tRNA from 1 species
AUUAGAGCCUUAGUAGUAUAGUU